GUACACUCCUGCGGGAGGCAGCAGUGGGGAAUAUUGGACAAUGGGCGCAAGCCUGAUCCAGCCAUGCCGCGUGAGUGAUGAAGGCCCUAGGGUUGUAAAGCUCUUUCACCGGAGAAGAUAAUGACGGUAUCCGGAGAAGAAGCCCCGGCUAACUUCGUGCCAGCAGCCGCGGUAAUACGAAGGGGGCUAGCGUUGUUCGGAAUUACUGGGCGUAAAGCGCACGUAGGCGGAUCGAUCAGUCAGGGGUGAAAUCCCAGGGCUCAACCCUGGAACUGCCUUUGAUACUGUCGAUCUGGAGUAUGGAAGAGGUGAGUGGAAUUCCGAGUGUAGAGGUGAAAUUCGUAGAUAUUCGGAGGAACACCAGUGGCGAAGGCGGCUCACUGGUCCAUUACUGACGCUGAGGUGCGAAAGCGUGGGGAGCAAACAGGAUUAGAAACCCUGGUAGUCCCAU
rnacentral:rRNA from 1 species